UGGUUUGCGUAUUCCUGAAAACUUUCUUUGAUGCAACCGUGGUCAUCUCGGGAUCACAUUAUCCAACAGCAAAUCUAUAUUUUCAUGAGAUCUGGGAAGUUAAGGUUGCCAUGGAUAAUCCCCAGGUGAAUGAUGACCUCCUUGGGACAAUCCAGUAUAUGCAGAGAAAGUUUAAAAGAUACUGGAAAUUGACAUGGUUGCAAAUUUCAUUUCCAGUCAUUUUUGAUCCAAGGUUUAAGCUUGCAUUCAUUGACUUCCGUCUGAAACAAGCAUUUGGGAGUGCAGUUGAGGCAAAGAUUGCUACAUUGAAGAAAGUUUUGCUAGAACUGUUCAAGGAUUAUUCUCAAGUGAGUACUAGCGGUCAAGAUUUGAUGGAACAACAAAUUCCUGGACCUCUAGUUACAAAUGCAAGUGGUAGGUAUGCUGAUUGGGAUCAGCACAUGAACCAAAGUGUGCCCUCAACAAGUGAAGUACCAUCUGAACUUGAAACUUAUUUAACAAAGCCUCCAAUCCCUCGAAGUGAAACUUUUGACAUACUCACUUGGUGGAAGAGUAACUCAGUUGAGUAUCCCACUCUUUCUCGUAUGGCCCAUGAUGUCUUAGUUGUUCCUGCAUCGACAGUUGCAUCUGAGUCAGCUUUCAGUACAGGAAGAAGAAUAAUAUCAGAUUUUCGAAGCCGGUUAACUCCAAAAACUGUGGAAGCACUGAUAUGUUUGCAAGAUUGGAUGCGGGCCUCAUGUUCGUCAAAAUUUUGCAUGGAAGGGAUUGAGGAUUUUGUCGAGGUACCUGAUCCAGAAGAAUGACAUGCUUAAAGACUUUUGGCUUGGAUUUCUGUAGCAGAUCUGGUAGUUCUUAUAAUGAGCGUCCAAAGCAGAAGCUCAAGACUCCAAAUGUGGUGAAGCCAGUAGCAUGUCUCACCGAGAGGGUUCUGAUUGUUGGACGAUGAUGAAUUAGCACUCGUGUGUUCUUUUCUGAAUAUUAAAUGCAAUUCCAAUCCUUGGAUGGUAUGAGAUUAUACAGUUUCUUCUGUACAAGUUAUAUCA